rnacentral:rRNA from 1 species
GACGAACGCUGGCGGCGUGCUUAACACAUGCCAGUCGAACGGAAAGGCCUCUUUCGGGGGGUACUCGAGUGGCGAACGGGUGAGUAACACGUGAGUAACCUGCCCUUGACUUUGGGAUAACUUCAGGAAACUGGGGCUAAUACCGGAUAGGAGCUCCUGCUGCAUGGUGGGGGUUGGAAAGUUUCGGCGGUUGGGGAUGGACUCGCGGCUUAUCAGCUUGUUGGUGGGGUAGUGGCUUACCAAGGCUUUGACGGGUAGCCGGCCUGAGAGGGUGACCGGCCACAUUGGGACUGAGAUACGGCCCAGACUCCUACGGGAGGCAGCAGUGGGGAAUAUUGCACAAUGGGUGGAAGCCUGAUGCAGCAACGCCGUGGGCGGGAGGACGGCCUUCGGGUUGUAAACCGCUUUCGCUCAUGACGAAGCUUUGUGUGACGGUAGUGGGUAAAGAAGCACCGGCUAACUACGUG